GGAUCGGUAGCUCAGUGGUAGAGCGUAGGAUUGCAGAUCCCGAGGUCACGCGUUCGAACCGCGUUCGGUCCU
rfam:Aspergillus niger supercontig An01